CACAACUUGGACGGAUGAAAGAAACAAGGAAGCAAGCAACCACUGAUAAACACUUCAUUCACUCUUGCUCCAUUUGCGAAGAAGGAGCGUUUUUACUUUAGGCCCCAAAGCAUCCCAUGACUUUCUUGGGAGAGUUGCCGGUGGCGCGGUACUUGGCGGCCAUCUCCUCGGCCUUGAGGAGUUCCUCCCCUUUCUUUGCCUCGACCAUCGCUCUCUUCUCUUCGGCUUCCUUGUGGAUCAUUGCGGCCUUAUUCUUCAUCUUCUCGGCGUAUUCAGCCUUCUUCUUUUCCAAUUGCUCCUGAAAGUGUACAGUCACAAGAUUUAGUUUGCAGGAUGGCAUAUGAAGAGAGUGCCAUGUUCAGAACUGCAGAUGGAUAUCGACGGCAAGAACAGGCCUUACUCUUUGAUGUAAUAUACGGCCUUACUCUUUGAUGUAAUAUACAAAGAAUGGUAACGAUGAAAGUACCUCGAUCUUCUUCAGUUGAGCUUCUAUGUUUGCUUUUUUGGUGUUCUCCCAUGAGAGAAUAGCAGAUACCUUUUUAGUAGCCCUGUGAUAUUGAUGUGAAUCAAGAUCAGGAAAAUUUACAUCAUCUAUUUAAUGAACGUGUUCAAGAACGUAAUUUAGCUAUAAGUAUACAACUUCUUCAUUUUCUUCAAAAUGACAUAGCUUCUUUCAUGAUAUCUGUUGGUAGUUGUGCUGUAGGUGUUCUUAUCAUUGUUUGAAUUAGACGGGGUUGACAUAUGCUCCAUAUCUUGGGAGUAAGACUAGACAUAUUACUAACAUGAAGCUUUAUAUGGGCUCUGUUUCCUAGUUGAAACCAUUAAAGUGGCUGAAGCGCACCUUUGAGAUAUGUAACAUGCAUAUCCAAUCUAACAGAGUAGUGAUAAAUCUACCAUACCAUUGAAAAAGCAUGAAUGGAUAAAUAUAAAUAGUAACAUACUUGUUCUCAGCCUUUGUCUUCUCAUUUUCCUCCCAUGCUUUAAUUAAAGAGUUCCUCUUCUCGCUUUCCACCCUUGCAAGAGCGAGGUCUGCAUAGCAGGUUUUCAGGUAGUUUGUCAGCAUAGGUGUACUCUAUUAUAAGAAGAGAAUUCAAAUUAUUCAAUAAUUACCUCUGUCGUUUGAGCCGCCGUGUGCAGCUUUCUCAUCUGUGAGUUUCUCAGCAACAGGUUCAUCUGCAACCUCUGGUACGCAGAAAAAUGUAGAAGUAUCUUAUGAGCAAGAGUUGUAACGUCACAAUUUGAUAUGAGAGUAAUUAAGCAGCAAGAAGCUAGCAUCUGUCUGUACAAUGUCAAAUGAUUUUUAGUACCCACUCGUGUCGCGAGCAUUAUAUAAUCCGUGGAAUUGAAGUUAACUUCUAGCGUGUCCUUUGGUACUAAGAUCUUAUAUAAUGGUGACUUGUGUAGGACUUAUCUUAUUCUCUGAACUUCUCCAACCACAGACGCAAACGGAGUAAGAUAGAAAGCUACUUACAGUCCUUCUGGAUAAAGGAAUGGCUAAACAACGACAUCAUACACCGAACUUUCAGAACCCAAUGCACAGUUUUAUUAAUAUCCUUGACUCACACUCCAGCAUGGUCAUAAUUCUGAGGACUACUAGGUGCCCAUUUUUAUGAUUAAAAGCUUGUUGCUAAUUGGCCCUGCAGUUUCUUCCAACGUUGCUAUUUAUUCGCAUAGUGUUUGGUUUUCUCGUGGGAAGGGGAGCACGCUGUCAUUGAGUGCCAAACCAGAGGAGAAGUAUCAUAGACAGGAUUUCGUUCCGAUACCACAUACUUACUUCAUGUUUAUAUCCACUUCAAAACAGUAAUACGGUCAUACGGUCACCAGGAAAACUGAACAAUCUUUCCAACUAUGCAAGACUCUGAACUACUGAACAUUUAUAGCAUAGUAGUAUAUCUAUCAUCCAUGAUGACUUAGAGCAGCAACAGAAAGCAACUGCCUGCCUGUCCAAAACUACAAUAUGCCAUUCUUAAAUACAAUAGCUUUAUUCCUUUCAAAAGAAGAUAUGACAGUUAGUGAGUGCGCGUGUACUGGUUUUAUCUGUUAAUGAGUGCGCGUGUACUGGUUUUAUCUGUUCUAUAAACCCAAACACUAACUACUACUACAACACUAUCUGCAUGGUUGAAGAAAUAUGCAAAUGCAAUGAACAUGCAGACACAAGUCACAUAGCUCGGGAAAGGUUGUUCUUCAUGUGGCUUUUGCUUCCGUUUGGUUCCUUUUCCCCCAGCAUAGUACCAUCUUGGACACUUUCUAGGGUGUUAAAGUGAAACUGAGAUUCCUCCAAAAAAGGAAACUGGGAUGGAUAAGACAGAGAGGGAGCGAAGAACGGAGAGCAGGGGCAGAAAGAAGACAAAUGGAUAAGGAUGAGUGAGGAAUUCAGUGAAGUUCUAACGACUAUCUUUUCUAAAUUCCAACCCAGAACAAUUGUGCAACCUAUUUUCAGUGAGGCUACACACGGCCAGCAUCACCUUAGCUAUAUCUAUGUUGUCCUAAGAUGCUCUCUGUUUUUGUUUCGUCCAAAACUCUGCAACACUUCCGGUUCACUAGAAACAAACUAAUUUGCAACCAUGGUUGCAUCCGCUGUUUUUUUGUUCAUAACAAAAUCAUUUAGUACUACCUCCAUCUUAAAAUAAGUGUACAAAUUUGUACCAGAGCUAGUAUAAAGUUGCGACGGGCAGAGGGAGUAGAAAGCAGGGAAAAUAUUCAGACAAACAUUUGAGAUAUUUAUCAGAGCUGUUUGCGGCACCAACCAAGUGCUAAUAUAUUUCGCAAGCAGACAAUUCAGGAAAAAGAACACAUAAGCGGAAGUGUCUCAAUUCUCAAAGCAGCCAAAGCACAAACCAAAUAACAAUUGCAACUAACGCUGGCUAGUAAUCCCUAUGAACACGUAACUGAAAUUACCGAAUUAAUCGUACUCUAGGUGUAACAACGAGAGCCAAGAAAAAUAAGGAGAGGAAGGGAAAGAGAAAAAGGUCUCCAAAUAAUAUCGCAGGAUCAUCGGUACCUCAACCAAGUACUACCACCACUGUUCAUCUCCUGUUAACACCGAGGAAAAGUUGCUCGCUCCUACUACUCGUACUACCAGAUCCUAGCGCGCCCACCCCCUUCCCAUCGUUCAAGUUCAACCACAGGCCGGCCUUGCCGAAGCAAGAGCAAAUUAACUGAAGCAGCAGCAGCAGCAAAACAGCGCAGAGCAAGCGGCAGGGUGACUUACUCUCGACGACGACGAGGGCCUUGGAGUCGUCGACGGGCGGCUUCUCCUCGUCGGCGGCGGGNNNNNNNNNNNNNNNNNNNNNNNNNNNNNNNNNNNNNNNNNNNNNNNNNNNNNNNNNNNNNNNNNNNNNNNNNNNNNNNNNNNNNNNNNNNNNNNNNNNNNNNNNNNNNNNNNNNNNNNNNNNNNNNNNNNNNNNNNNNNNNNNNNNNNNNNNNNNNNNNNNNNNNNNNNNNNNNNNNNNNNNNNNNNNNNNNNNNNNNNNNNNNNNNNNNNNNNNNNNNNNNNNNNNNNNNNNNNNNNNNNNNNNNNNNNNNNNNNNNNNNNNNNNNNNNNNNNNNNNNNNNNNNNNNNNNNNNNNNNNNNNNNNNNNNNNNNNNNNNNNNNNNNNNNNNNNNNNNNNNNNNNNNNNNNNNNNNNNNNNNNNNNNNNNNNNNNNNNNNNNNNNNNNNNNNNNNNNNNNNNNNNNNNNNNNNNNNNNNNNNNNNNNNNNNNNNNNNNNNNNNNNNNNNNNNNNNNNNNNNNNNNNNNNNNNNNNNNNNNNNNNNNNNNNNNNNNNNNNNNNNNNNNNNNNNNNNNNNNNNNNNNNNNNNNNNNNNNNNNNNNNNNNNNNNNNNNNNNNNNNNNNNNNNNNNNNNNNNNNNNNNNNNNNNNNNNNNNNNNNNNNNNNNNNNNNNNNNNNNNNNNNNNNNNNNNNNNNNNNNNNNNNNNNNNNNNNNNNNNNNNNNNNNNNNNNNNNNNNNNNNNNNNNNNNNNNNNNNNNNNNNNNNNNNNNNNNNNNNNNNNNNNNNNNNNNNNNNNNNNNNNNNNNNNNNNNNNNNNNNNNNNNNNNNNNNNNNNNNNNNNNNNNNNNNNNNNNNNNNNNNNNNNNNNNNNNNNNNNNCGCUGCGCCUGUGGCCUCCACGUAGACGCUGCGCGUGGCGGCGCACGUGAUAACACCGGGCGGCGUCAAGGCGGACGGUGACAUGGGUGAGGAGUGCGAGGGCGGGGGAGGAUCAAUAAAAACUUACAAAAGUUUACUUAACCUUUUAAACUAACUCUUCUCUCCUUCCAUGAUUUUCAGUAAGGGUGGGGCCCCUCAUCCCUCAAUAACCAUCACAAUCUUACACAUCAGUUUGUACGUAAAAUCUUUAAGUAAGCCUUUGUAGGUGUAGCAUUACUCAGCGGGGAGGAUACGGGUGCCGGUUUCUUUCUUCCGUUCCCAACUUUUUCCUAAACAAUUCUUGAAUAAACAGAUACGUAUUUUCGGCGAUGGAAUUAAAGGCGCGCGCUGGCUCGCCGACUAGACAAUUGGGCUGGUGUUGGGCGAUCCGCGGAGCUUGAUUUUCCCCAGCUGUCAUCGCCUUGACGCGCCCGUCCCGCUGCCGGCUGGGCGUGUGACGGCAAGGACCGACCAGACCUGACCGUUAUACGCCCGUUUCCCGCGGAACUUGGGCGCGCGCGGGUGCAUGUGGCCGUAUCCGUAUGCAGCCGGCGGUCGACAGGUGUACUCGUACUACAUGACCAGUUCUUGGGCGGUGGCCGACGUAUCGGGGUAAUCCGUGGUUUGGUCCUCGCGCUAGCUCUGGACUUGGAUCUCACUGGAUCCUCGUAUUCUGUAUUCUGAAUCCGGGCACCAGUCAGUGGGAGUACAUUUGUCGGUGUAUAUGCAUGUGUGGGCCACACCAUACGUGCAUGAUGCGGUACAAUAUACGUCGAGCAUGUAGGAUGUAGCCAAGCUUCGACACUCAUUUCCCAAGCAGAUUUUGUUCGUUGCUAGUAUGUCCCAAGUUCUAGCUGGCGCUUAUAUCUUGCCGCCCAAAAACCUCCGUCGUCCUACAAAAGAAAACCACAAGAAUUCCAAGUUGACAAACCGUUUGCACAAAGCCAUGAAGCUGGAUGCUGCAGCAACCUAACUAAGCCAAAGCAUCUUAACAGCUGACCAGCUAAUUGUUGAAUAUAAGGAAGCUAGCUAGCUUGCGCAACUGUCCAAAGCAUAGCAUUGGACAAUCGUUCAGCAUCCAAAUGGACAUGAACAGAAGAUGCUUUGCUGGCGAGGACAGGUAGCCACAGCUACCAUGCCACACUCAAAUUAUUGGCAACGGCCAGGUGCUAAGCAGGGUUAUACGCGUUACAAACAAUUGGAUCUUGCUUGGACGCUCCUCGUUACGUCGUCGCUACGUACGCACGGAAUUUGGAGUACAACACACAUCAGAUCCUACUUUUUAGCUACCGAGACAUCCUGCUGUAUCAUUUGCACAUCGUUCAAUCUCACCGGUAACUGGGCGUGCAAGAACAGACAUAUAGAAAUAAGGUAUGACAUUCUGACGGGUAAGCCGAGCAUCUCAAACCCGCUCCAAACAUUCACACAUACGGUUUGAUCAUUGACUGGUCACAAAAAUAUGAUUCACGUGAACGCCUCAAACACCCGGGCUGAUCAACCAAAUCAAAGACGGAUAAGGAAGGCGUCCGGAUGCGUCCGCCCUAGAGGCCUACCCCAUCAUAAAUUGCAUCAAAUCUACCCCAUCCAUCCAUUUGCUAUCUUCUGUUGCUCCUCCCCAACGUAUCUCACCUGCUCCGCCGUUGCGGAGCAUGUGCGCCGACAACAUCGACACAACACUCCUCUAUUCAAUCCUCACAGCCCACGACGUCGUUGCCGGCCCGGACACCACUGUGGUACGCCCGACAAUUCUCGAGCUGGCCCUUGCGAUACAUUGUCCAGCCCGUUUCUUGCGAUUUUUAGGAAAAACAAUGAAUUCUGAUGCUUCGUUGGACGAGGAGUAUGGACUGACAUAGUUCGAUCAAAUGAUUGAAGAUGAGUUCUUCGAUUCGUUGAAUUCACACGAAGAACUGGACAUGAUCAUGCUCAUGAACAUGUAAGAGUAAAUGGACCGGCAGAGCAUAUUCCUAAUUUCAAGGGCUCAAUCAAAAAAAGAAGAAUGAUCAAUCGGGAUAGGGUCUGCGGCGCACGGCUACUAUAGAAGGACUACUUUGCUCCAUACCUAACUUUUUUGGAUCAUCACUGGUUUCGUCGCCGUUUUUUGCAUGCAAAAAACCAUUGUUUUUCCGCAUUAUGGGGGGAUUAAAGGCUUACGAUGACUACCACUAGUAGAAAAAGGCACAUUUGUCCCGGUUCCAUAGGCUCAUUAGCCCCGGUUCCGGAACCGGGACUAAAGUGUCGGGACUAAAGCCCAAAACCUUUAGUCCCGGUUCGCUUACCAACCGGGACCGAAGGGUCUCCACGUGUCCGCUGCGGGGAGCCCGAGCAGGAGGGCCGUUAGUCCCGGUUGGUCAUACUAACCGGGACAACAUGGCAUCCACGCGUCAGCAUCUGGCCGGAGCUGGGGGUUUUGUUUUUUCUGAAUGGGGGUGGGGGUGGAGGGUUAAUUUAGUGGUUUUUUAUUGUGUUAGCUAGCUACUAGAGAGAAGUGUCCUCUCUUUCUCCGUGCUUGGUCGACGCUAGCUACUAUACAUAUAGAGAGAACAUGACGCUAGCUAAUAAGAAAAUGAAGGAAACCAUUUACAAUCCCUAACAUCUUUUACAAUGCCUAACAUCAUCUACCUAAGAUUCAAUCACAAAUAGCUCACAUGGUAUUCUCCGUAUGACGUGGUCAAGAAAGAAUCCCGCCAAUUCCUCUUGGAUUGCUCGUAUGCCAUCAUCUGAUAGGGGUUCAUCCCGCUUCUUUCAGAUCUAAUUUAAAGAAGGGGGUCAAUACAUGCAUAUAUAUAUGAAUAAAACUCAACACAAUUGAUGGUAAUAUAUAAAAUAAAAUUGUGAAUAUUAUUUACGUACUUCAAAUUGUUUGUCAGAGAUGCCUCGCCCAGAGGUUGAGAGGCGAAUGAACUCGCAUACGUAGUAUGCACAUUUUUCAGUUCCAGCUACCUGGUACAAGCACUUUAUGAGAAUAGAGUUCAAUCAAACUGAUAAGCAAGCAUGGUAAUGAUAUAUUGAUGAAAAUUUGAAUCAAUUAGAGAUGCACGGAACUAGAUAGUACUACUUACCGGGGGGGGGUGCGUAAAUUGCAACUCUUUGUUUAGACCGGGAGACUUUGAGGUGAACUUCUUCCAAACCUUGCCAGACAAGGAAAAUGAUUACUUGAUAUCAGGAAAUUAAUGAAAGUUGCAUGCCGGUAUGGUCCUGGUAUUGACUGAACUUACUUCUUGAGCAUUGCAGUCAUGUCCGCAUAAUCCUCGGGAUCUUUACGUCUCGAGUCUAAGACAAUUACUUUUACCCCGUCAAGCUUAAUGGAUAGCAGAAUAAAGUGGUAACUGCGCACGCAUAUAUAACUCAUCAAUUACAUUUACUUAACCUCGAGUAAGCGAAACGAGUAUACAGAGAAUACAGCAACACUCACUUGAAGUUGUAAGGAAAGAGUAUUUCCCUUUUGUUUUGAAUUGCAAGCAAAGAGUUUAGCAAGCUAACCUCGGUCUCUUUGGUUUCAUUUCGUACCGACAAUACAUUUACGGCUUCUGGGCUAAUGAACCCAACGUCGAAGAUUCCUGCUUUUUUUAAUUCGACGAUCUUGAAGCUGCAUAAUAUAUAUAGUAAGGAUAAUUAUAUAUACAUGAAAUGAACGAGAUGAGCUAGAGACUUAAUUAUAGAAGUAAUACUUACAAACAGUAGGAAGUCAUGAAUUGUUUGUCGAGGCCAGUUGAUUGUAUAACUGAAAUAACUCCUCAAAUUGAACAAGCAGCACUGAAGUUCCAAUGAAAUCGUGAUCUUUUUUCACUCUCAUAUAGAUAGCGUCUUUCCCAGUCUCCCUGAAGAUGUUCAUGUACCACUCAUGCAAUUCGUGCAUCCUCGGUGUUAGAGGAGGAUGAUCAGGUUUGACCAGAGGCUUCCCGAGCACGUAUUCAUAUGUUUGUUUAUUUGCUACCUCAGCUAUAUAAAAAAUUACUGAAUGCUUCAUGUAAUCACCAGGAUUGGUACCGGGCAGCUGUUGGGGAACGUCGCAUGGGAAACAAAAAUUUUCCUACGCACACGAAGACCUAUCAUGGUGAUGUCCAUCGACGAGAGGGGAUAUGUGAUCUACGUACCCUUGUAGACCGUACAGCAGAAGCGUUAGUGAACGCGGUUGAUGUAGUGGAACGUCCUCAUGUCCCUCGAUCCGCCCCGUGAACCGUCCUGCGAUCAGUCCCACGAUCUAGUGCCGAACGGACGACACCUCCGCGUUCAGCACACGUACAGCUCGACGAAGAUCUCGGCCUUCUUGAUCCAGCAAGAGAGACGGAGAGGUAGAAGAGUUCUCCGGCAGCAUGACGGCGCUCCGGAGGUUGGUGGUGAUCUUAUCUCAGCAGGGCUCCGCCCGAGCUCCGCAGAAACGCGAUCUAGAGGAAAAACCGUGGAGGUAUGUGGUCGGGCUGCCGUGGAAAAGUCGUCUCAAAUCAGCCCUAAAACCUCCGUAUAUAUAGGGGGAAGAGGGGGAGCCUUGCCUUGGGGCUCAAGGACCCCCAAGGGGGUCGGCCGAGCCAAGGGGGAAAGGUCUCCCCUCCCAAACCGAAUCCAACUUGGUUUGGAAGGUGGAGUCCUUCUUCCCUUUCCCACCUCCUCCUGUUUUUUCUUUUCUCUUUGAUUUUCUUCCUAUGGCGCAUAGGGCCUUCUUGGGCUGUCCCACCAGCCCACUAAGGGCUGGUGCGCCACCCCCAAGGCCUAUGGGCUUCCCCGAGGUGGGUUGCCCCCCCGGUGAACACCCGGAACCCAUUCGUCAUUCCCGGUACAUUCCCGAUAACUCCGAAAACCUUCCGGUAAUAAAAUGAGGUCAUCCUAUAUAUCAAUCUUCGUUUCCGGACCAUUCCGGAAACCCUCAUGACGUCCGUGAUCUCAUCCGGGACUCCGAACAACAUUCGGCAACCAACCAUAUAACUCAAAUACGCAUAUAACAACGUCAAACCUUAAGUGUGCAGACCCUGCGGGUUAGAGAACUAUGUAGACAUGACCCGAGCGACUCCUCGGUCAAUAUCCAAUAGCGGGACCUGGAUGCCCAUAUUGGAUCCUCUCCCUAUAGNNNNNNNNNNNNNNNNNNNNNNNNNNNNNNNNNNNNNNNNNNNNNNNNNNNNNNNNNNNNNNNNNNNNNNNNNNNNNNNNNNNNNNNNNNNNNNNNNNNNACUGCAUUCACUUUAAAUAGGGCACCAUCAAAAUCCGUUGAGACGACACCAUACGAACUGUGGUAUGGCAAAAGGCCAAAGUUAUCGUUUCUUAAAAGUUUGGGGAUGUGAUGCUUAUGUCAAAAAGCUUCAGCCUGAAAAGCUGGAACCCAAAGCGGAAAAGUGCGUCUUCAUAGGUUACCCAAAAGAGACAGUUGGGUACACCUUCUAUCUCAAAUCCGAGGGCAAAGUGUUUGUUGCUAAAAACGGAGCUUUUCUCGAGAAGGAGUUUCUCUCGAGAGAAUUGAGUGGGAGGAAGAUAGAACUUGACGAGGUUGUCAAACCUCUCAUCCCUCUGGAUGGUGGCGNCAGGGCAAGGGGAAACCUCUGUCGUUGCGACACCGGUUGAGGAGGAAGUUAAUGAUGAUGAUCAUGAAACUCCAGUUCAAGUUUCUGUCGAACCACGCAGGUCGACGAGACCACGUGCUGCUCCAGAGUGGUACGGUAAUCCCGUCUUAUCAAUCAUGUUGUUAGACAACAAUGAAGCUGCAAAUUAUGAAGAAGCAAUGGUGGGCCCAGAUUCCAACAAAUGGCUAGAAGCCAUGAAGUCCGAGAUAGGAUCCAUGUAUGAGAACAAAGUGUGGACUUUGGAGGGACUACCUGAGGGCAGCAAGGCUAUUCAGAACAAAUGGAUCUUUAAGAGGAAGACGGCCGCUGACGCCAAUGUGACCGUUUAUAAAGCUCGACUUGUGGCAAAGGGUUUUUCACAAGUUCAAGGAGUUGACUACGAUGAGACAUUCUCACCCGUAGCGAUGCUUAAGUCCGUCAGAAUCAUGUUAGCAAUAGCUGCAUUUUUCGAUUAUGAAAUCUCGCAGAUGGAUGUCAAAACGGCAUUCCUUAACGGUUUCCUUAAGGAAGAGUUGUAUAUGAUACAACCCGAANNNNNNNNNNNNNNNNNNNNNNNNNNNNNNNNNNNNNNNNNNNNNNNNNNNNNNNNNNNNNNNNNNNNNNNNNNNNNNNNNNNNNNNNNNNNNNNNNNNNAUGAUCUCCAUCAACGUGUUGCCAUCGGGGUUGUCGUGCUACUCAUGCUAUUACUACUAAAGCUACAUCCUAGCAAAAUAGUAAACGCAUCUGCAAGCACAAACGUUAGUAUAAAGACAACCCUAUGGCUCAUGCCGGUUGCCGUACCAUCGACGUGCAAGUCGAUAUUUACUAUUACAACAUGAUCAUCUCAUACAUCCAAUAUAUCACAUCACAUCGUUGGCCAUAUCACAUCACAAUCAUACCCUCAAAAAACAAGUUAGACGUCCUCUAAUUUUGUUGUUGCAUGUUUUACGUGGUGACCAUGGGUAUCUAGUAGGAUCGCAUCUUACUUACGCAAACACCACAACGGAGAUAUAUGAGUUGCUAUUUAACCUCAUCCAAGGACCUCCUCGGUCAAAUCCGAUUCAACUAAAGUUGGAGAAACCGAAACUUGCCAGUCCUCUUUGAGCAACGGUGUUACUCGUAGCGAUGAAACCAGUCUAUCGUAAGCAUACGAGUAAUGUCGGUCCAAGCCGCUUCAAUCCAACAAUACCGCAGAAUCAAGAAAAGACUAAGGAGGGCAGCAAAACGCACAUCACCGCCCACAAAAACUUUUGUGUUCUACUCGAGAAGACAUCUACGCAUGAACCUAGCUCAUGAUGCCACUGUUGGGGAACGUCGCAGGGGGGGGGGGGGGGUUCCUACGCGCACGAAGACCUAUCAUGGUGAUGUCCAUCUACGAGAGGGGAUGAGUGAUCUACGUACCCUUGUAGAUCGUACAGCAGAAGCGUUAGUGAACACGGUUGAUGUAGUGGAACGUCCUCACAUCCCUCGAUCCGCCCCGCGAACAAUCCCGCGAUCAGUCCCACGAUCUAGUACCGAACGGACGACACCUCCGCGUUCAGCACACGUACAGCUCGACGAUGAUCUCGGCCUUCUUGAUCCAGCAAGAGAGACGGAGAGGUAGAAGAGUUCUCCGGCAGCGUGACGGCGCUCCGGAGGUUGGUGAUGACCUUGUCUCAGCAGGGCUUCGCCCGAGCUCCGCAGAAACGCGAUCUAGAGGAAAAACCGUGGAGGUAUGUGGUCGGGCUGCCGUGGAAAAGUCGUCUCAAAUCAGCCCUAAAACCUCCGUAUAUAUAGGUGGGAGGGAGGGGACCUUGCCUUGGGGCUCAAGGAGCCCCAAGGGGGUCGGACGAGUCCAAAGGGGAAGGCUCCCCCCCAGACCGAGUUGGACUUGGUUUGGUGGGUGGGAGUCCUUCCUUCCCUUCCCACCUCCCUUUUUUUCUUUUCUCUUUGAUUUUCUUUCCUAGGCGCAUAGGGCCCUUUUGGGCUGUCCCACCAGCCCACUAAGGGCUGGUGUGCCACUCUCAAGGCCUAUGGGCUUCCCCGGGGUGGGUUGCCCCCCCGGUGAACUCCCGGAACCCAUUCGUCAUUCCCGGUACAUUCCCGGUAACUCCGAAAACCUUCCGGUAAUCAAAUGAGGUCAUCCUAUAUAUCAAUCUUCGUUUCUGGACCAUUCCGGAAACCCUCGUGACGUCUGUGAUCUCAUCCGGGACUCCGGACAACAUUCGGUAACCAACCAUAUAACUCAAAUACACAUAAAACAACGUCGAACCUUAAGUGUGCAGACCCUGCGGGUUCGAGAAUUAUGUAGACAUGACCCGAGAGACUCCUCGGUCAAUAUCCAAUAGCGGGACCUGGAUGCCCAUAUUGGAUCCUACAUAUUCUACGAAGAUCUUAUCNGUUUGAACCUCAGUGCCAAGGAUUCGUAUAAUCCCGUAUGUCAUUCCCUUUGUCCUUCGGUAUGUUACUUGCCCGAGAUUCGAUCGUCAGUAUCCGCAUACCUAUUUCAAUCUCGUUUACCGGCAAGUCUCUUUACUCGUUCCGUAAUACAACAUCCCGCAACUUACACUAAGUUACAUUGCUUGCAAGGCUUGUGUGUGAUGUUGUAUUACCGAGUGGGCCCNNNNNNNNNNNNNNNNNNNNNNNNNNNNNNNNNNNNNNNNNNNNNNNNNNNNNNNNNNNNNNNNNNNNNNNNNNNNNNNNNNNNNNNNNNNNNNNNNNNNCCGACGUUUUUCGACCCGUCUAACCCUACUUCAACUUUUUAGCACAUGCUAUGUGGGUGAAAUGAUGAUACCAUGCCAACUUUCAACAUUUUUUAGAGUUCAUUUGUAGUGCUUUUCAAUUUAAGGGUCAUUUAGCUCAAAAAAUCAGUAAAUGCAUGAAAAAUACCAAAUGAAGUCAGAAAUAGUUGAAAAUUGAUGAUGUGGCUUUGAAUGGUGCAUUUUGAACACACAAAAAAGUCUUGAGUUCAAAUAAGUUCAAAAAAAAUGAAAUCCCUUUGUAACACAUGAGUUUUCGUAUGAAACCCUCAUACUUCGAAAGAGAUUGUCCGUUUUGUACACGAAGUGCAUCCAGCUUUUGUCGCAACCCUCUCAACUUUUUAGCACAUGCUAUGUGGGUGAAAUGAUGAUACCAUGCCAACUUUCAACAUUUCCACAGUUCAUUUGUAGUGUUUUCAAUUUAAGGGUCAUUUAGCUCAAAAAAAUGAGUAAAUGCAUGAAAAAUACCAAAUGAAGUGUUUUUGAAUUUUGUGACCUGAAAGCAAAAAGAAUCACUGAAAAAUAGUAAGGAGGAACAAAAUAAAAUAAAUAAAGUAAAAAACAAAAAAAUAGCUUUUUUUAAAUGCCACCUACUGGGCGACCGCGGCGUGAAUACGACUAGAAACCCAACCAGCCUAUUGGGCCAGGAUUCAGGCCCGGAGUAGGCCCAAUAGGCCCUGAAGCAGUGACCCAUUAGGCCCGGAGUAGGCCCAAUAGGCCUAGAGUCAGUGACCCAUUAGGCCCGGAAGCCUGCAAUUGAAAGGAGCUCGAGAGGUUGUGCGCAGCUGCGCUUAUAAACCACUCGCUACCUCUCUCGGCUAGCGAUGUGGGACUAAACUUUUAGCCUCGGGCAGCACCACACUUUGGUCCUAGCUGGUGGCUCCAACCGGCACCAAUACGGACCUUUUGUCCCGGUUGGAGUCACUAAUCCGUACUAAAGGUCUCUUCUUCCCGCCCUUUUGGGCCAACGAAAUUGACCUUUAGUCCCGGUUGGUGUACCAAACCGGGACUAAAGUGUUGCUAUGGUUCCGGUUUGAGCCACCAACCGGAAACAAAGGUAUUCAUAUAUUGCGGGAGUUGUCAAAAUUUCCACCAACUUCCAUUUCCUCCCCGUUCUCUCUUCGUCGUCGCCGUCGCCGCCGUCCCGCGCCUCCUCCACGAGCCCGACGUCGUCCUCGCCGUCGCUCCUGAGCCCGUCGUCGCCCCGAGCCCAUCGCCGUUGUCGUCGCUCCCGAGCCCAUCGUCGCCCCGAGCCCGUCGCGCCCCGUCGUCCCCGAGCCCGUCGCGCGCCGUCAUCCCCGAGCCCAUCMAUCGCCCAGAGCCCAUCGCGCUCCAUCGUCCCCGAGCCCAUCGUCGUCGCCGUCGCCGUCGCUCCUGAGCCCAUCGUCGUCGUCCGUUGUCGCCCGUCGUCGCCGUCACCGUCGUCGCCGUAGCCCCCGAUCCCAUCGCCGCUGUCAUCGUCGCCCGUCGCCCGGCGUUGUUCCGAAGCCCGCCGUCGUCGCCCGUCGACGCGCCGGUAGCACGUCCAUCUCCAUCGCCAUAUCCCUAUUUGUGAAUCCAUGUGUGAGGAGACGUAGUCUAAUUGCGAAUCCAUGUGUGUAUUUCAGUCUUAUUAGAAUAUGUUGGGUACAUUUUUGAACUCCCCAAUGUGACACAAGUUAUAAAAAUUAUAAAAAUAUUUAGAUUAGAUUAAGUUACAAUAGCAGAUAAAGUUAUAAAAAUUAUAAAAAUAUUUAGAUUAGAUUAAGUUUUUAUGUUAAUAUUUGGGAUUAUGUAUAAAAGUUAGUUUUUACCUUAUUUUUAUUUUAGUUUUAAUAAAAAGUAUUUUACCGAAAAAGGGCUUCCCCCACUUUGUAAUAUUUGUAUAAACAAUGGAUAUUCCAAGAGACAUGGACCAAGAUGAAAUUUUGGGGGAUAUAAUCCACGACGACGGUAAUGUCGAUUUCUUUCUCAACAACAUCGAUGGUCUGGAAGGAGAGGAUUACGGCUCCGGUGAUCGAACAAUGGAGGAGGAAGGACAUUAUCAUGAUGGCUUAGGUGGCUACCGAAUCCCGGAGGAAGGGGAUCAUGAUGACAGCUCCGGUGACUGAUAUGUCUCCGUCGUAUCUAUAAUUUUUGAUUGUUUCAUGCCAAUAUUCUACAACUUUCAUAUACUUUUAGCAACUUUCUAUACUAUUUUUGGGACUAACAUAUUGAUCCAGUGCCCAGUGCCAGUUCCUGUUUGUUGCAUGUUUUUUGUUUCGCAGAAUACCCAUACCAAACGAAGUCCAAACGCAAUAAAAAAACCUAUGGGGAUUUUUUUGGAAUAUUUAUGAUUUUUGGGAAGAGGAAUCAACGCGAAACGAUGCCCGACGGGGUCACGAGCCCAGGAGGCGCGCUCUACCCCCCAGGCUCGCCUGGCAGGCUCGUGACCAACCCCUAAGGCGGUUGGGGCCCUUCUUUUGCCGCAAGAAAGCUAAUAUCCGGAAGAAAAUCGUGUUAAAAGGACACCUCAAUCGGAGUUACGGAUCUCCAGGAAUUUAAGAAACGGUGAAAGGACAGAAUCUGGGAGCGCAAAAACAAAAGGACACAGAGAGAGAGAGAUCCAAUCUCGGAGCGGCUCUCGCCCCUCCGCCGCCAUGGAGAUCAUGGACUAGAGGGGAAACCCUUCUCCCAUCUAGGGAGGAGGUCAAGGAAGAAGAAGAAGAAGGGGGGCUCUCUCUCCCGGCGACGCCGGAACACCGCCCGAGACAUCAUCGUGUGACGGCGAUCUACACCAACACCUCCGUCAUCUUCACCAACACAUCCAUCACAUUCCCCCAUCUAUAUUCAGCGGUCCACUCUCCCACAACCCGCUGUACCCUCUACUUGAACAUGGUGCUUUAUGCUUCAUAUUAUUAUCCAAUGAUGUGUUGCCAUCCGAUGAUGUUUGAGUAGAUUUUCGUUGUCCUAUCGGUGAUUGAUGAAUUGCUAUGAUUGGUUUAAUUUGCUUGUGGUUAUGUUGCUUUCUUUGGUUCCCAUCAUAUGAGCGCGCGCGUGGAUCACACCAUAGGGUUAGUAGUAAGUUGAUAGGACUAUGUAUUGGAGGGCAAGGGUGACAGAAGCUUCAGCCUAGCAUAGAAAUUGAUGCAUACGUGAUUGAAGGGGGACCAAUAUAUCUUAUUGCUAUAAUUGGGUUUUACCUUAAUGAACAUUAGUAGUUGUGGAUGCUUGCUAAUAGUUCCAAUCAUAAGUGCAUAGAAUUCCAAGUAAGGGAUGACAUGCUAGCAGUGGCCUCUCCCACAUAAAACUUGCUAUCGGUCUAGUAACGUAGUCAAUUGCUAAGGGACAAUUCCGCAACUCCUACCACCACUUUUCCACACUCGUUAAACUAAUGUAAUUGUUUCUUUAUCUAAAAAGCCCCUAGUUUUUAUUUACGUGUUCUUUAGUAUCUUGGAAACCUAUCCUAUCACACCUACAAAGUACUUAUAGUUUCAUACUUGUUCUAGGUAAAGCGAACGUAAAGUGUGUGUAGAGUUGUAUCGGUGGUCGAUAGAACUCGAGGGAAUAUUUGUCCUACCUUUAGCUCCUUGUUGGGUUCGACACUCUUACUUAUCGAGAAAGGCUACAAUUUAUCCCCUAUACUUGUGGGUUAUCAAGACCUUUUUCUGGCGCCGUUGCCGGGGAGCAAUAGCAUGGGGUGAAUAUUCUCGUGUGUGCUUGUUUGCUUUAUCACUAAGUAGAUUUAUUUGUUGUUCUAAGUUGUUCUCUAUCUUUGGUUAUGGAUAUGGAACACGAAAUACCAAAAAAAAUUAGGUGUACUUGCUACUCAUGGAGAUGGGGAACCUUCUAAAACCCUCCAUGCUCGUUAUGUGGAAAAUAUUAUGCACUUCUUUAAUAAUCCUGAGAAAACCCCAUUCAGUUAUAUAAUGGGAGACACGUUGGAUCAACGUGAAUACUUUAGGGAUUAUCGCUUGACUCAAAAAGGGAAACUAUUAUGGGAUCAAAUUCAUAUGUUGAAAUGGUAUGCUUGGGAACUAUGCUUGAGAUAUGAUAUUACUUGCUGCUCUAGGAUGAAGGCUCAACACCUUCCCUUUUCUUGUAAAUUUAAUGCUAAUGAAACCUUGGUUUCUUAUGCUAAUGGUAUAUAUGAUUACUAUGAUGUGGAACAAAUAGAAGAGUUUGUUACUUUUAUGGGUGCUUAUGAAAUUGAAGCUCUGUUUAAAAGGUGUGAUGAUAAUGAUGAUGCUGCUUACCGAUCAAAAAAUGUGGUUAUGCUUCAUUAUUGUUAUACUAAUUAUGAAUAUAAUGCCCAUAUUUAUCGAUUUAUGGAGAAGUUCUAUGCUGCCCAAGAAGAGACAAAUAUUUUGGAGGAAACUAUGGAAGAAGAAAAUGCUGAAACUGUGAGCUCAUUAGAUGAAAAAGAUGACGAGGAGAGUGAUGAACAAAAGGAGGAAGAGCGGACUAGCUACCCGUGCCCACCUUCUAAUGAUAGUAACUCUUCAACUCAUACAUUGUUUAAUUUCCUUUCGUUCUUACCGAAGGCUGAAUGCUAUGUUGAUUGCUAUGAUCCCUUGGAUUCGUUUGAAAUAUCGCUUUUUGAUGAACUUGAUGCUUGCUAUGCUUGUGGCCAUGAUGCCAAUAUGAAUGAUGCUUAUGAAUAUGAACUUGCUAUGGUUACUUAUGUUAAACAUGAAAUUUUUUCUAUCACACCCACUUAUGAUAGUCCUAUUAUCUUUUUGAACUCUCCCAACUACACUAUAUCGGAGAAGUUUGCUCUUAUUAGGGAUUACAUAGAUGGGUUGCCUUCUACUAUUACACAUGAUGAUUUUGAUAAAUAUAAUAUGCAUGUGCUUGCUUCUCCUACUUGCAAUUGUUAUAAGAGAGGAACUACAUCUCCACCUCUCUAUGUUUCCAAUACGAUAAAAUUGCAAGAAACUGCUUAUGCUAUGUAUUGGCCUUUACUUGAUGUGCAUGAAUUGUUACUUUAUGACAUGCCAAUGCAUAGGAAGAGAGUUAGACUUCUUCAUUGCAUGAUAUAUGUUACCUUGUGCUCACUACUAAAUUACAAAUCAUUGUUAAUUAAAAUUGGCUUUGAUAUACCUUGGGAUCCGGGUGGAUCCAUUACUUGAGCACUUUAUGUCUAGCUUAAUGGCUUUAAAGAAAGCGCUGCCUGGGAGACAACUCGGAAGUUUUAGAGAGUCAUUUAUUUCUGUUGAGUGCUUUUAUAUAGUUUAAAAACAAAAAUAUAUAUAGAGGGGAACUUAAAACUUUUUCAAAAAGAGAAGCGAUUGAAAGGUGAUGCAUUGCGGAAGUGAGGGUCGACCUUGAACACUUGUGUUCAUGCUCAUGGAAACAAUGUAGAAUUUUUCAUGGAAGUUUAUCGCAAAAAAUAAUUAUCCCCUUGUACAAUUCCAUUGUAUUAUAAAAAUAAUGUGCCAAGUAAAGCCUUUAUGAUUAGUUUGGGUGAUAGUUGUUUGAUCAUGCUGAAAAAGACAGAAACUUUGCACUCACGAAAUCAUUUCUUAUAUCUAUACAGAGAGGGAUAUUGAGUUGAUUCUUUUGUCUGCUGAUUGAUAUACAAAUUGCCUUAAUGAUAAUAAUUUUUUCAGAAUUUUUGGAGUAUCAGAAGUAUGGUAUGUGUUCAGAUUACUACAGACUGUUCUGUUUUUUGACAGAUUUUGUUUUCUAUGCAUUGUUCUCUUAUUUUAAUGAAUCUAUGGGUAGUAUCGGGGGGUAUCAACCAUGGUGAAGUUGGAUUACAGUAGAUAUAAUGCUAAUAUGAAUUUGGAAUGAGUUCACAACAGUACUUAAAGUGGUGAUUUACUUUAUUAUACUAACGGAUCUCACGAAGGUUUUGUUGAGUUUUGUGUGAUUGAAGUUUUCAAGUUUUGGGUGAGACCACGAUGGAUGAAGUAAUAAGGAGAGGCAAGAGCCUAAGCUUGGGGAUGCCCGAGGCACCCCAAGGUAAUAUUCAAGGAAGACUCAAGCGUCUAAGCUUGGGGAUGCCCCGGAAGGCAUCCCCUCUUUCGUCUACAUUCUAACGGUAAUUUUACUCGGAGCUAUAUUUUUAUUCGUCACAUGAUAUGUGCAAAUGCUUGGAGCGUCUUUUGUGUUUAUUUUUCCUUUUUCUUUUAUGCACCAUGCUGGUAUGAGAUAGUCCUUGGUUGAUUUCUAGAAUGCUCUUUGACUUCACUUAUAUCUUUUGAGUAUGGCUUUAUAGAAUGCUUCAUGUGCUUCACUUAUAUCAUUUGAAGUUUGGAUUGCCUGUUUCCCUACACAUAGAAAACCGCCAUUUGUAGAAUGCUCUUUUGCUUCACUUAUAUUUGUUAGAGCGGGGCAUAUCUUUUGUAAAAAGAAUUAAACUCUCAUGCUUCACUUAUACCUAUUUAGAGAGUUAACAGGAGUUGGUCAUUCAGAUGGUUAGUCAUAAAAUCCUACAUAAAACUUGUAGAUCACUGAAUAUGAUAUGUUUGAUUCCUUGCAAUAGUUUUGCGACAUGAAGAUGUGAUAUUAGAUUCAUGCUAGUGAGUAAUUGUGUAUUCGUAGAAAUACUUGUGUUAAGGUUUGUGAUUCCCGUAGCAUGCACGUAUGGUGAACCGUUAUGUGACGAGGUCUGAGCAUGAUUAAUUUAUUGAUUGUCAUCCUUUGUGUGGAGGUCGGGAUCGCGUGAUGGUUAACUGCUACCAACCCUUCCCCUAGGAGCAUGCGUGUAGUACCUUGUUUGGAUGACUAAUAGACUUUUGCAAUAAGUAUGUGAGUUCUUUAUGACUAAUGUUGAGUCCAUGCAUUAUACGCACUCUCACCCUUUCACCAUUGCUAGCCUCUCUAGUACCGCGCAACUUUCGCCAGUGCAUUACACCCACCAUAUACCCUUCCUCAAAACAACCACCAUACCUCAUGUUAUGGCAUUUCCAUAGCCAUUCCGAGAUAUAUUGCCAUGCAACUUCCAUCGUUCCAUUUAUUAUGACACGCACCAUCAUUGUCAUAUUGCUUUGCAUAUUUGUAAGAUAGCUAGCAUGAUGUUUUCAUGGCUUGUCCAUUUUUUGAUGUCAUUGCUACGCUAGAUCAUUGCACAUCCCGGUACACCGUCGGAGGCAUUCAUAUAGAGUCAUAUUUUAUUCUAAAUAUCGAGUUGUAAGUAAAUAAAAGUGUGAUGAUCAUCAUUAUUAGAGAAUUGUCCCAUGUGAGGAAGUAAUAAAAGAGGCCAAUGAAGCCCAAAUUAAAAAAAAUUAGGCCAAAGAAUCCCACCAAAAAAAGGGAGAAAAAAUAGAGAGAAAAGAGAGAAGGGACAAUGCUACUAUCCUUUACCACACUUGUGCUUCAAAGUAGCACCAUGAUCUUCAUGAUAGAGAGUCUCCUAUGUUGUCACUUUCAUAUACUAGUGGGAAAUUUUCAUUAUAGAACUUGGCUUGUAUAUUCCAACGAUGGGCUUCCUCAAAUUGCCCUAGGUCUUCAUGAGCAAGCGAGUUGGAUGCACACCCACUAGUUUAUUUUUUGAACUUUCAUACACUUAUAGCUCUUGUGCAUCUGUUGCAUGGCAAUCCCUACUCACUCACAUUGAUAUCUAUUGAUGGGCAUCUCCAUAGCCCGUUGAUACGCCUAGUUGAUGUGAGACUAUCUCCUCCUUUUUGUCUUUUCCACAACCACCAUAUUCUAUUCCACCUAUAGUGCUAUGUCCAUGGCUCACGCUCAUGUAUUGCGUGAAAGUUGAAAAAGUUUUAGAACACUAAAGUAUGAAACAAUUGCUUGGCUAAAACCGGGGUUGUGCAUGAUUUAAAUACGUGUGGGGAAGAUGGAGCAUAGCCACACUAUAUGAUUUUGUAGGGAUAACUUUCUUUGGCCAUGAUAUUUUGAGAAGACAUGAUUGCUUUGUUAGUAUGCUUGAAAUAUUAUUGUCUUUAUGUCAAAUGAUAGACUAUUGCUUCGAAUCACUCGUGUUUUAGUAUUCAUGCCAUGAUUAGAUUAUAUGAUCAAGAUUAUGCUAGGUAGCAUUCCACAUCAAAAAUUAUCUUUUUUAUCAUUUACCUACUCGAGGACGAGCAGAAAUUAAGCUUGGAGAUGCUGAUACGUCUCCGUCGUAUCUAUAAUUUUUGAUUGUUUCAUGCCAAUAUUCUACAAUUGUCAUAUACUUUCGGCAACUUUUUUAUACUAUUUUUUGGGACUAACAUAUUGAUCCAGUGCCCAGUGCUAGUUCCUAUUUGUUGCAUGUUUUUUGUUUCGCAGAAUAUCCAUACCAAACGAAGUCCAAACGCAAUAAAAAACCUACGGGGAUUUGUUUUGGAAUAUUUAUGAUUUUUGGGAAGAAGAAUCAACGCGAAACGAUGCCCGAGGGGGUCACGAGCCCAGGAGGCGCGCCCUAUCCCCCAGGCACGCCUGGCAGGCUCGUGACCAACCCCUAUGGCGGUUGGGGCCCUUUUUUCCCUCAAGAAAGCUAAUAUCCGGAAGAAAAUCGUGUUAAAAGGACACCUCAAUCGGAGUAACGGAUCUCCGGGAAUUUAAGAAACGGUGAAAGGCCAGAAUCUGGGAGCACAGAAACAGAAGGAAAUAGAGAGAGAGAGAGAUCCAAUCUCGGAGGGGCUCUCGCCCCUCCGCCGCCAUGGAGACCAUGGACCAGAGGGGAAACCCUUCUCCCAUCUAGGGAGGAGGUCAAGGAAGAAGAAUAAGGGGGCUCUCUCCCCCCUCUCUCCCGGCGGCGCCGGAACGCCGCCCGUGACAUCAUCGUGUGACGGCGGUCUACACCAACACCUCCGUCAUCUUCACCAACACCUCCGUCAUCUUCACCAACACCUCCAUCACCUUCCCCCAUCUAUAUUCAGCGGUCCACUCUCCCGCAACCUGUUGUACCCUCUACUUGAAUAUGGUGCUUUAUGCUUCAUAUUAUUAUCCAAUGAUGUGUUGCCAUCCUAUGAUGUUUGAGUAGAUUUUCGUUGUCCUAUUGGUGAUUGAUGAAUUGCUAUGAUUGGUUUAAUUUGCUUGUGGUUAUGUUGUUGUCCUUUGGUGCCCAUCAUAUGAGCGCGCGCGUGGAUCACACAAUAGGGUUAGUAGUAUGUUGAUAGGACUAUGUAUUGGAGGGCAAGGGUGACAGAAGCUUCAGCCUAACAUAGAAAUUGAUGCAUACGGGAUUGAAGGGGGACCAAUAUAUCUUAUUGCUAUGGUUGGAUUUUACCUUAAUGAACGUUAGUAGUUGCAGAUGCUUGCUAAUAGUUCCAAUCAUAAGUUCAUAGAAUUCCAAGUAAGGGAUGACAUGCUAGCAGUGGCCUCUCCCACAUAAAACUUGCUAUCGGUCUAGUAACGUAGUCAAUUGCUUAGGGACAAUUCCGCAACUCCUACCACCACUUUUCCACACUCGUUAAACUAAUGUAAUUGUUUCUUUAUCUAAACAGCCCCUAGGUUUUAUUUACGUGUUCUUUAUUAUCUUGCAAACCUAUCCUAUCACACCUACAAAGUACUUCUAGUUUCAUACUUGUUUUAGGUAAAGCGAACGUAGAGUGUGCGUAGAGUUGUAUCGGUGGUCGAUAGAACUUGAGGGAAUAUUUGUCCUACCUUUAGCUCCUCGUUGGGUUCGACACUCUUACUUAUCGAGAAAGGCUACAAUUGAUCCCCUAUACUUGUGGGUUAUCAGUGACCGAACGGAGGAGGGAGCUAUUGAAAAGUCCGGAUCGAGCCAAACUUCGGUAAUGAGACGAGGCCCGAAGAGAAGGUUGGGCAAGGAUCAAAAGUUCAUGAUCACAUGACUCGCGAACGAUGGCCUACCGAUUGAACCCAAGUGGACCAAGGAUGCAUUUUCUGCUCAGUGCGGAGCUAUUAUCAGGGACAACAUCCCGAUCAGCAUCAAGCAAUGGAAUAAGCCUAAGGGAGACGACGUACCUGAAGGUGAUUAUGUCACCGAUAGGCAGAAAGAUGAUCUUUGGACUGCGCUGAAGGAAAAUUUCACCCUACCGCCAGAGGAGGAUCCGAAUAAGCCAGUUAUAGAGCCACUGGUCAAGGUGUGUGCUCUUAAGAAGAUGGCAGAUCUAUUCAGGAGGUGGAAGAAUGAGUUGAAAUCAAAGUUUUUCGACAAAGGGAAGACUCCAGAAUUCGUCAGCUGAUUUGAGAAGAUGAGAGAUCACUGGCCCGCAUUUGUGUCCUACAAGAAAUCAGACAAGAGUAAGAAAAUGUCACAGACAAACAAGAACAAUGCUACAAAGAAGCAGUAUCACCAUCACACGGGGUCAGGUGGAUACCUCGAAGCCGUCCGUUGUGGGACAAAGCUGAGAAUGACCUGAUUGCUAAAGGGGUCCAACCAUAGACAUGAAACUGGCCCGACCGUUCAAGGAAUUGGUUCUUCAAGGUCGGGGGAACUUUGGACCCUGAAACAGGGAAGUGUCGUUGGACGGACGAGCAACUUGCAACACCCAUCAACAAGCUUCAGAAGUGUAUCACCGCAGCGCGGGAAGGGGCGUUCUUUCCUGACGAAGAGAAGGACGAGCUGACUGAGGCCCUAGGGAAUGUUGAGCACCCUGGACAAACACGAGGCACACCAGGCUCCGUUCCAUGGAAGGUUGGGUUUCCCGACGCAGCCGGUUAUAGAAGCCGAGAGAGAAAGAGGAAAGUGGAGCUCAGCGACAUGCAAAAGAUCAAUGCAAGACUACAAAUUCUAGAGGAACUUGAGAGCCAGCGAGCGGCCGACCAACCAUCUCAGCGUCACGAAACUACCCAGAAGUUACCCCGCCAUCUCAGCGAAGAAGCAGCAUGGCUUCCACGGAGCUCGUUCAGCCUGACUUCACGGCUCCAAGCUACCCCGUGGAUACUAUCACGGAGUCUCAACCUUGCGAUCUUUUGACGAAAUGUCGGAACCUCACUUUCAAGGCUGCUAUCGGCUUCGUUGCACCUUCUGAACCAACGGAACUUUUCACUGCCUUCCGAUUCCACGUGGCUUUGCUAUUCAGAUGGUGGAUGAAGUAAAGGAGGGAUUUGAGCAGCUCGAGCUUGACCACCCUACAGGUGAAGGGGAGAAUAAGUUGGUUCAUGAUGUGAGGAGUACAUGUCUAUGGCCGAAGGAGUACAUCAACCUUCCAAACUGGACGCCUCCUCGUCCUCCUCCUCCGGUGAUUGAUCAGGGCACUCCUCAUCCUCCUCCGGCGAGUGAUCAGGGCACUACAGCUCCUCCGACGCGUGAGGGCACUCCACCUCCUUCUUCGGCUCCUCCUCUAGCGCGUGAGGGCACUCCGUCUCCUUCUUCAACUCCUUCUUCGACGCGUCGAAGUAGUCUGCCUCCUUCUUCGGCUCCUCCUCCAGUGCGUCGGAGCACUCCGCCUCCUUCUUUGACUCCUCCUCCAGCGCAUCGGAGCAGUCCUCCUCCUUCGGCUCCUCCUCAGGCACGUCAUAGCAGUCCUCCUCCUUCGGCUCCUCCUCAGGUGCGUCGGAGCAGUCCUCCUCCUUCGGCUCCUCCUCAGGCGCGCCGGAGCAGUCCGCCUCCUCCACAACGGUGGAAGACAAACGUCGUCGCCGCUCCGCAGAAAAUUACACAAGUAAGAAAGAUGUCGCCUCCUCCUCCUUCUCUCAAGCGGAAGACAAACUCCGCCGCCGCUCUGGAGGCUACCAGUGAUGCAAUGUUAGCAAAACGAAGAAGUGGGAAAACAAUUCCCCAGCUCGGCCAACAGAAGAAGCAAUCGUGCCCCCCGCUCAAGGUGUCUAGCGAUAUCAUCGUCGCUAAUGAUCCGGGGUUGCUGUUGUUGGAAAUAUGCCCUAGAGGCAAUAAUAAAUUAGUUAUUAUUAUAUUUCUUUGUUCAUGAUAAUCGUUUAUUAUCCAUGCUAUAAUUGUAUUGAUUGGAAACACAAUACUUGUGUGGAUACAUAGACAAAACACUGUCCCUAGUAAGCCUCUAGUUGACUAGCUCGUUGAUCAAAGAUGGUCAAGGUUUCCUGACCAUGGGCAAGUGUUGUCACUUGAUAACGGGAUCACAUCAUUAGGAGAAUCAUGUGAUGGACUAAGACCCAAACUAAUAGACGUAGCAUGUUGAUCGUGUCAUUUUGUUGCUACUGUUUUCUGCGUGUCACGUAUUUGUUCCUAUGACCAUGAGAUCAUAUAACUCACUCACACCGGAGGAAUGCUUUGUGUGUAUCAAACGUCGCAACGUAACUGGGUGACUAUAAAGAUGCUCUACAGGUAUCUCCGAAGGUGUUAGUUGAGUUAGUAUGGAUCGAGACUGGGAUUUGUCACUCCGUGUGACGGAGAGGAAUCUCGGGGCCCACUCGGUAAUACAACAUCACACACAAGCCUUGCAAGCAAUGUGACUUAGUGUAAGUUGCGGUAUCUUGUAUUAUGGAACGAGUAAAGAGACUUGCGGGUAAACGAGAUUGAAAUAGGUAUGCGGAUACUGACGAUCGAAUCUCGGGCAAGUAACAUACCGAAGGACAAAGGGAAUGACAUACGGGAUUAUAUGAAUCCUUGGCACUGAGGUUCAAACGAUAAGAUCUUCGUAGAAUAUGUAGGAUCCAAUAUGGGCAUCCAGGUCCCACUAUUGGAUAUUGACCGAGGAGUCGCUCGGGUCAUGUCUACAUAGUUCUCGAACCCGCAGGGUCUGCACACUUAAGGUUCGACGUUGUUAUAUGCGUAUUUGAGUUAUAUGGUUGGUUGCCGAAUGUUGUUCGGAGUCCCGGAUGAGAUCACAAACGUCAUGAGGGUUUCCGGAAUGGUCCGGAAACGAAGAUUGAUAUAUAGGAUGACCUCAUUUGAUUACCGGAAGGUUUUCGGAGUUACCGGGAAUGUACCGGGAAUGACGAAUGGGUUCCGGAUGUUCACCGGGGGGGGCAACCCACCUCGGGGAAGCCCAUAGGCCUUGGGGGUGGCGCACCAGCCCUUAGUGGGCUGGUGGGACAGCCCAAGAAGGCCCUAUGCGCCAUANNNNNNNNNNNNNNNNNNNNNNNNNNNNNNNNNNNNNNNNNNNNNNNNNNNNNNNNNNNNNNNNNNNNNNNNNNNNNNNNNNNNNNNNNNNNNNNNNNNNCAGGAUGGCCCAGGCGAGCAUGCCAAAGGUCGACACCAGCGGCGAGGGAGACGGGGCGGGUGGAGGCAGCGGCGGAGGGAUGCACCGGGUAGAGAUCCUGAGAGCUAUCACAUCGGUGCAGUACCAUCCGGGUAGGGGCAUCCUUCACAGUAAAAUCGACAACGUCAAAUUCAACAGUAAGAGGAUUCUCACGAGCAAGGCAACGAACAGAACAAAGUUUCGUGACUAAUUCGGGAGAAACAAGAACAUUAGACAUGUUGAUAGGUGUAGAUGAAGAGGGAAACGAUGUAUGCCCUAUAUGUGUGAUGGGUAAAGAUGAACCAUUACCAACGGUGAUACAAGUAGGAGUAUGAACUGGAGUAGAGGAGAUAAGGUUACCGGUAUGAGAGGUCAUGUGAGCAGUGGCACCCGAGUCCAUGUACCAGUCGCCGCCGCCCCCAUAGUUGCUCGGGGAGGGGGGCGCGAGUGCAGCGCUGCCAAAAGAGCAGGAUCUCACGGCGAAGGCGCCUGCUGUGGGGAGGCCCCGCCGUAGGGGGCCCUCCGUAGGAAGGCAUCAGAGCAGCAGGGUAGCCGCCAACCAUCAGCGGGGCGGGUAGAGCAGGACCACGCACGGCGAGGUAAGCUUGUUGAAGAGGCGGAGGGGGCCGAGGCACUAGCAUCUAAUAGGCAUGGAUGACUCCAGUCCACGGAUUUGUGUCGUAGGUCCAGGGCGGGGUAGGGUACUGCUGACGAGGCGCCCUCCGUACGCCGGUUGUUGCGGCUGUUGUUGCUUGUUCUGGCGUCCACCGCGGCAGUUGUUGCAUCGGCCGCCGCCACCGCCGAGCUGCUGUUGCGGCUGCCGCUGCACGGGCGGCGUGGGCGGCAAGGAGAAGAACCCCGGGGGCGCAGGAGGUGCCGGGGCCCGAGGCGCGUGAGGUGGCCCGUGAGAGGUGCCUGCGGCGAGGGCGGUGUGCUGGACCCGCCGCUUGACCUGCUUCAUCUGUCGUUCCUCCAAGCAAAGAUAGGCGACAAACUUGGGGAACGAGGGCUCCGUCAUCAAGGUGAGGUUGGAGGCGGCGUUGCCGAAGUCCUCGUCGAGGCCGGUCGUAAGCGUGCUGAGGAGAAGGUCAUCAUCGAUCUUGGCGCCAAUGUCGUGGAGUUCAUUGGACAACAUCUUGAGACGGAGGUAGUAAUCAUCAACGGGCUGAUCAUCUUGAUGACAGCUGAAGAAUUCUUGCUGCAGGAGGACGCGACGUUGAAGCUUGUUGUCGGUGAAGAGGCCAUUGAGUUUGACCCAUACGGCAUGCGCGUCAUCGCCCUCGCUGACGACGGUGUGAAAGUGAUCCUUGGAGAUGAUGAGGAAGAACCACCGAAUGAGCGUAGCAUCGAUGGAUGUCCACUCGAAAUCGUCCUUCAUGUCGCCAGAGUCGCCGGAGCCGUCGAUGUGAUCCGCGAUAUUGUACUCGCGAACGACGAGGGAGAAGUAGGUCUUCCACGCGAAAUACAUGGAGUCUUGGGGAUCGAGGAUGACGGGGACCCGACCAUGGAUGAAGGGGUUGGUGUUGCCGGAGAGGGAGGAGUUAACCGACAUGACGUCGGCGACGCGACAGGAGGGAAGGCGCGGUGCGGCGGCGGUGGUUGCGGGUGCGGCUACGUGCAUAUCGUAGCGGCAGGUGUUAGGGUUUAGUGGCGACGGCGGCGGCUUGUGGAGGGAGAGUAGGGUUAGGGCGCGACUGCGUGGAGAUGGAUGGCAGCAGCAGGGUAGGGGAGGCGACAGUGGCGACGCGAGGCGUCGGCUGGGUAGCAGCAGCGGCGGCGGUGGCGGCUAGGGCAACAGAAGAGGUAGGAUCCGCGUGCUAUCUGAUACCAUGUAAGUUAGGGAUUGCAUGCAUCGAUGAUUCUCAUUGAUGGUGCACCAAGCACAUAUAUAGGUACAAGGGGUGCAACUCAUGUCUCGUCUUUCAAGUUACAUACAGAUUACAAUGAGAGGGAGACGUGACAGGUGCAAUAUACAAACCAAGAUCUAUAGACGUGUACGCAGACUAUACAUGUUCAACAUAAACAUAGGCUAAAACGGAUCAAUUCAAUCAAAAUAGUGAGAAAACAAUAUCAAAACCAGGAUGAGACCAAAAAUCGACUGCUUAAAUGUCAAGAGUAAUAACAAAUGUGACUUCUUAACUACACAUAAGAAUGUUGCUUGUCAAGCAUGAAAGAUGUACACAACCGAACACCUGUCCUGGGAGCAAUAUGUAUAUACAGAAACGGCAGACUUUACACACAAGGCACACAGGGGAUAGGCUUGGACGGAUGAAAGAAACAAGGAAGCAAGCAACCACUGAUAAACACUUCAUUCACUCUUGCUCCAUUUGCGAAGAAGGAGCGUUUUUACUUUAGGCCCCAAAGCAUCCCAUGACUUUCUUGGGAGAGUUGCCGGUGGCGCGGUACUUGGCGGCCAUCUCCUCGGCCUUGAGGAGUUCCUCCCCUUUCUUUGCCUCGACCAUCGCUCUCUUCUCUUCGGCUUCCUUGUGGAUCAUUGCGGCCUUAUUCUUCAUCUUCUCGGCGUAUUCAGCCUUCUUCUUUUCCAAUUGCUCCUGAAAGUGUACAGUCACAAGAUUUAGUUUGCAGGAUGGCAUAUGAAGAGAGUGCCAUGUUCAGAACUGCAGAUGGAUAUCGACGGCAAGA
rnacentral:lncRNA from 1 species